UGCCUAACACAUGCAAGUCGUACGAGUAGUUUUUAACUCUAGUGGCGGACGGGUGAGUAACACGUGAGAAUUUGCCUUUAGGAGGGGGAUAACAAUUGGAAACGAAUGCUAAUACCCCAUAUGCUUUCGAGUGAAAUGGAUUUAUAUUUAUCCGCCUAGAGAGAAGCUCGCGGCUGAUUAGCUUGUUGGUAAGGUAAGAGCUUACCAAGGCGACGAUCAGUAUCUGGUUUGAGAGGACGAUCAGACACACUGGAACUGAGACACGGUCCAGACUCCUACGGGAGGCAGCAGUGGGGAAUUUUCCGCAAUGGGCGAAAGCCUGACGGAGCAAUACCGCGUGAGGGAAGACUGCCUAUGGGUUGUAAACCUCUUUUUUCAGGGAGGAAUCAAUGACGUGUACCUGAAGAAUAAGCAUCGGCUAACUCCGUGCCAGCAGCCGCGGUAAGACGGAGGAUGCAAGUGUUAUCCGGAAUCACUGGGCGUAAAGCGUCUGUAGGUGGUUUAAUAAGUCAACUGUUAAAUCUUGAGGCUCAACUUCAAAAUCGCAGUCGAAACUAUUAGACUAGAGUAUAGUAGAGGUAAAGG
rnacentral:rRNA from 1 species